CCCUCCACCCCAGCCAAGCCCGAUCGUCCCUCAGGCGCGCCUGCCCUGCCCACCCCGCGGCAGCAUCCCUCCCAAAGACAAAGCAGCCGGCAACCUGGCCCACUCCUCUCCAGCAGGGUCGACCCUGAGCCCCAGCUGAAUGGAGCAAAGCAGGGGAACAGGUGGGAGAAUGCGCCAAGGACCACCCAGGUGCCUCCAGGGCUUGAGGACCGGGACUCACCAGGUGCUCCUCUGCGGUUUUGUCCCCAAGGUGAAAAUAGAGCCCUGCAUGUAGUAGGCUCUCAGAUACCUAUUAGAUGAGUUAAUGGAUGGCUUUAUAACUGGAAACCUGCGUGAAUUAAUGAGUGAAUAAAUGGCCAAUUAACUAAUUGGAUGUAAACCGGGUAGGCAACUAGUGGAUAAUUGCGGGCCAGACCACAGGCUUGUCGGAUGACUUGUAUUAAAGGACCAGCUCAAUGAGAAAGUCAAA